UUUCUCCCCUUGCCUCAGUGGAAAAAGCCUGCUUGCAUUCACUCUAUCUAUACCCAUCAUAAUUUUAUAUACUUCUAUCAAAUCUCCCCUCAUUCUCCUACGCUCCAGGGAAUAAAGUCCUAACCUAUUCAACCUUUCUCUGUAACUGAGUUUCUCAAGUCCCAGCAACAUCCUUGUAAACCUUCUCUGCACUCUUUCAACCUUAUUUAUAUCUGUUCUGUGUAAUAUCUUUUAGAAAAUGAAUUAAGGGGAUGUGAUUAAGAGCGUAGAACAGAUUCAUGAGAGACUGUGGGUCCUGGAGGACUUGAGUUACAAACAGACUCUGGAGAAACUGGCGCUGUUCUCGCUGGAGUGUAGGAGGCUGAGGGGUGAAGUAGUAAAUUUGUUUACAAUUGUCACAUGUCCUGACCGAGGUACAGUGAAAAGCUUGUCUUUGUACGCUAUCCAUACAGAUCAUUUCAUUACAUCAGUCCAUCAAAGUAAGACAGGAGAAUAUAGUGUAACAGGGAAAGUGCUGUGCAGGUACCAGAAAGUGCAAAGUCACAGCCAGGCAGGUUGUGAGGUCAAGAGUACAUCUUAUUAUACAAUAAUCUUCCCUGAUAUGAUAAAAUGGACUCUGAACCUCACCACCUACCUCAUUAUGAUCUUGCACUUUAUCGGUUAUCUAAAUUGCACUUACACUUUCUUCUGCAAACUUACUAUUUUACCUUGUACUGAUCUGCAUGAAAGACGAACUUUUCACUGUACAUAAACACAAGAGAUUCUGCAAAUGCUGGAAAUCCAGAGCAACACACACACAAUGCUGGAGGAACUCGGCAGAUGCUGCCUGGCCUGCUGAGUUCGCUCGACAUUUUGUGUGCGUUACUUCGAUUUCCAGCUUCGCGGAUUUUCUCCACCUUAUUCCACACACUGUGCUCAUUGAAACGUAACACCUUCAGUUCUGUAUUCUUUUCAAUUUUGUUCUCCUUUUACAUUGCAUCUUAUCCUGUUGACUGAGAGCCUGCAGCACGACGAAUUAUCGGGUGAACAAUGUAGUCUUUGGGGUAACUGUUUUGAUUGAAUCCAUUCGUGCUGCCUGAGACAUCACCUUCCAAACCCACCACCUCUACCAACUGCAAAAACAUGGGGAACACCACUCCUUGGAAGUUUUUAAUAUUUAAGAAAGGGGAGCUCAUCAACAAAACUCACUCAGGUGUAAUAUAUGAAGAGAAGAUAAAACACUGGAUCUUGUUUGCAAAUGUUAAAGAUACAUACAGCUCCACGGCCUUCCCCCCACCCACCACUUGGAAGAUCAGAUCAUAACCUGGUUUACCUCAUGCCCUUGUAUAAGCCAAAAGUACAACAACAGCUAGCUACCACCAAGAUAGUAAAAAAAUGGUUUCCAGAGCCCAUCAAGGCCUUGAAGGUUGCUUUGAGUUACUGUCUGGCAGGUGCUUUGUGAACCACAUGGGAAGGGCGUUAAUGGACUUACUGAUGGCAUCACUGGCUACAUCAACCUCUGUGUGGACACUGUAAUACCACCAAGGACUGUUCACUGCUUCCCCAACAACAAACCAUGGGUCACCAGUGUGACGAGAAUACACAUAAAAAUUAAGAUGUUUGCUGGCCUGGGCUAGCAUCAGUGGCAUCAGCAGUUGGUCUGCCACCUGCCCUCAGGGGAAGGAGAGAUAAGGAACAAUGAAGCAGCGUCUGGAGAUGUGUAAUGAAGGGACGUGGGAGAGAGAGCUGUCUGGAGCGGCUCCCCCCUUUGAACCUUGAACUGUUUGAAGUGAUGGACAGGCGAUACCCCAGCAGGGGGAUAAAAAGGGACCAGUUCGCUAAGGCAGGACACGCCACCCGAGGUAACGAGACCCUGGAAGCGGUACGCCUCUCACGAGUUGGUGAGAAGUAUCGGACAACGGCCAGGGUGGAAAGGUAUGAUCAGCGGGAGCCCGGUGUGUGUCCGCCCUUGCCUGGGUGCCGGGUUCACUGCAGAGGAUCGACCGCAUCUGGAGGAGGGGUCACAGUCGGUGACCUCAGGUGACAUCACCAAGGACCCGCCCAAAAGUUGCUUGUGAGCCAUAUCGUUGGUCUGUGAGUGAAGCCGUGUCUGAAUGAUCAGUUGUUCCUGUUCCCUCUCUCUCUCCCCCCACGUUGUCCAUCGCCAUGGCACCGAUUACUGCGAACUGAACUACUAACUGGACUGAACUUUGAGUCACUUUGAAAUUUGGUCAUUUACCCCUAGACAACGAUAGAGCUUGAUUGAUGCUGUUAUCUUAAUCCUGUGCACAUGUGUGUUUAUCAUCGCUGAACUGUUGCAUUUAUUAUCCUUUCGAUUACUGUGUUGCUUGUUUCUUUAAUAAAACUUUCUUAGUUCUAGUACUCCAGACUCCAACUGAGUGAUCCAUUUCUGCUGGUUUGGCAACCCAGUUACGGGGUACGUAACACCAGUGACCUAAAGGCUCUUCUCAACCAUAAAAAGAGAGCCUUUAGAUCAGGAGACAGGGAGGAAUUGAAACAUGCACAGAGAGAGCUAAAGGAGAAGAUCAAGGUGGCUAAAGAGGAAUACAGGAGAGAGCUGGAGAACAAGCUUGGGCAGGGUAACACACGGGAGGUGUGGAGAGACAUGAGGAACAUCACUGGCUUCAAUCAGCCUGGCUGUAGAGCCUCAGAGUGCAGCUGUGAAUGGGCUAAUGAGUUAAACCAAUUCUUCAACAGCUUUGACAAUUGUCCUCCUGUUCACAUCCACUCAGCACACCAGCCCAGGUGCCGAGGCUCCUAAUGGUCUCUCAGCACCAAUGCCUCCACUCCUCCCUCCUCCCACCUGCUAUUCAACACGUGGAGGAACAACACAGCCUACCACUGUCUACAUCCCCUCCUUGGCCUGCACCUACCAUCCACACAUCCACAUAUCAACUGCUAUCAAACUGAUCUUCGCCUCCCACCUUCCACCAGCUCCUCAUUGUGGACUCACCUUCUCUACUGAGCAGGUGAGACGGGCUCUGGGAAAACUCAGACACGGCAAAGCUUUGGGACCGGAUGGUGUGAACCCCAAGGUGCUGAAGGAGUGUGCUGAGCAGCUGUGUGGGGUUCUCCAGUGCAUUUUCAAUCUGAGUUUCAGCCGGGAAAUGGUCCCGACUAUAUGGAGAACAUCAUGUUUGGCUCCAGUACCCAAGAAAGGCCAACUGAAAGUCUUGAAUGACUACCCUCCAGUGGCCCUGACCUCACACAUCAUGAAGACCCUCGAGAGGCUGAUCCUGGCUCACCUCUGACCCCGGUCAGAUUUGCCCUCGAUCCCCUGCAGUUUGCCUACCAGGAGCACAUUGGAGUCGACAAGGCUGUCAACUACCUGAUGAAUGGAGCCUUCACCUGGGUCAGCAGGGCAGCACUGUGAGGAUCAUGGUUUAUGAUUUCUCAAGUGCCUUCAAUACCAUACAGCCCUCAUCGCUGGGGGAAAAGCAGGUUGGCACUUGCAUUGCAUCCUGGAUAAUGGACUACCUGACUGGCAGACCAGCUUGUGUGACUUCAGAGCUGUGUGCCAUACAUGGCUAUAAGCAGCACUGAGGCCCCACAGGGGACUGUAUUGGCUCCCUUCCUGUUUACCCUGUAUACCUUGGACUUUAGAUACAACACUGAGUCAUAUCAUCUGCAGAAAUUCCCUGAUGACUCAGCAAUAGUUGGGAGAAUAAAGGGAGGUUGGGAGGAUGAAUACAGGGCCCUGGUGGAGGGCUUUGUCAAAUGGUGCAAGCUGAAUCGUCUGCAUCUCAACAUCAGUAAGACCAAGGAGAUGGUGAUGGACUUUAGGAAGGCUAAGCCUGCACUGUUCCCUGUUAGUAUUGAUGGUGAGGAUGUGGAUGUGGUAAGGACCUACAAGUAGCUGGGGUGCACCUGGAUGACAGAUUUGCGUGGAGCACCAACAUAGAGGCUGUGGACAAAUAGGACCAGAUUUGUCAGGAGACUGAGGUCCUUUGGAGUAUGCAGGCCUCUCCUUCACAUGCACUCUCGCACAUACACACACACCCACUGUUGCUCUACAGGUAGCUGGUGUGCGACCGUGGGGGACCACGUUCUUAUGCAG